rnacentral:lncRNA from 1 species
UAUCAUCAAAUAAUUUUUUUUCUUGUAGAUUAACUAACAUACACAUAAAUUUGCUUUCAACAAAUUGAAGCAGGUAGAAUUUGUUUAUGUACAUCAUCAUCUAUCAAAAAGUUUCUACAAACAAAGUUCAGAUUCAUUAUAAUCCUUCCUAAUCUACAUACUCAGUAAUAUAUGUCAGAUCCAGGCAACAAUACAACAUAUAUCAGUGGAAGCAGUACAGCAAAUGCUUCAUCUUGAGUUCUUGAUAUUAAGGUGAGACAAAAACUUAUAAUAUAAGGGAAGGGCAUUAAGAAUUAUAGAUCAUAUUUAGCAUAACAUGAUGGAGACACAGCCCAGUUUAUUACCAUAUAUAUCAAGCAAGCAUUAGUAUUAACUUGGAUGCAAAUGCCAACUACAAUUGGUUAUACAUUACUAAUAGGAUGAACACAUAAGUAAGAAAGAAGGCUCAAGAUUCAAAAUACGUGCUUUCAUGCGCUUUGAAUCUGAUAUAUGAAGAUAGCUCAACUGCAUUGUCACUCUUUCUUCUCUUCCUUCUUCUCUUCCUUGGGAGCUUCAACCUUCUUCUCUGCCUUUGCUGCUUCCUUGGCUGUAGCCUGCACCUUGGCUUUGCCCUUCUUUGGCUUCAUGAAGCAGAAGCAAGAGCAGCAAGGACACUGAAAUAAGAACUUCAUAGCUUCACCUUCUUUGCUCUCAAGUAGCUAGUCCUGAGAAUUAUUUCUCAUGUAUAGCAAAUGUUGAACUUCACCUUCCUUUUCUAUCUACUUCCUUAUCUAACUAUUUAUGUUGUGUGCUUUAUCAAAACAAAUAUAAAAAUGUAACAAUACACACUGGAUUCCACUUCAAUCACUAUCAACAAGGAAGAUGCCUGCCUAAUAAUGCCAGAGCUAGCAGUGGGACUAGGGUCUGUGGGGUUAGCCAUGGAUCCAUGAUCAACAUAAGUUACAUAAUGCAGCUAACAGUCUAAUACUAAUAGGAACUGUUCUUGAUUGCUUUUUCUAACUCCACAGAUUCAUGAUCCCUGUUAGGAAAUAAAAGCACAAUAUAUUUCAAUGUCUCAUACUAGGUUGAUCAAACUGACUUUAGUGGAUAUGAUACUGAGUUUUGUGAAUCCAUGAAUUUGACUGUUUACAAACCUUCAAAACUUGGGUACUGGUAUAUACACAGCUGAAUCAAUUAGUUGAAUGAUCAAAACACCUCAAGUAUGG